rnacentral:siRNA from 1 species
AUGUGUAUGAUUGAGUAUAAGAAC